AUUGAACGCUGGCGGCAAGCCUAACACAUGCAAGUCGAACGAGUGGCGGACGGGUGAGUAAUGGCUGGGACCCUGCCUGAUGGAGGGGGAUAACUACUGGAAACGGUAGCUAAUACCGCAUCCCAUCGGAUGUGACCAGAUGGGAGUAGCUAGUGGGUGGGGUACAGGCUCACCUAGGCGACGAUCCCUAGCUGGUCUGAGAGGAUGACCAGCCACACUGGAACUGCGACACGGUCCAGACUCCUACGGGAGGCAGCAGUGGGGAAGAUUGCACAAUGGGCGCAAGCCUGAGACAGCCAUGCCGCGUGUAUGAAGAAGGCCUUCGGGUUGUAAAGUACUUUCAGCGGGGAGGCGUUACCCGCAGAAGAAGCACCGGCUAACUCCGUGCCAGCAGCCGCGGUAAUUC
rnacentral:rRNA from 1 species